CCUACGGGGGGCAGCAGUGGGGAAUUUUCCGCAAUGGGCGAAAGCCUGACGGAGCAAUACCGCGUGAGGGAGGAAGGCUCUUGGGUCGUAAACCUCUUUUCUUAGGGAAGAACAAAAUGACGGUACCUAAGGAAUAAGCAUCGGCUAACUCUGUGCCAGCAGCCGCGGUAAUACAGAGGAUGCAAGCGUUAUCCGGAAUGAUUGGGCGUAAAGCGUCCGUAGGUGGUUUGUCAAGUCCGUGGUUAAAGCGCGAAGCUCAACUUCGUAAGGGCCAAGGAAACUGACAGACUAGAGUGAAGUAGGGGUAGAGGGAAUUCCCAGUGUAGCGGUGAAAUGCGUAGAGAUUGGGAAGAACACCGGUGGCGAAAGCGCUCUACUGGACUUAGACUGACACUGAGGGACGAAAGCUAGGGGAGCGAAAGGGAUUAGAUACCCGAGUAGUC
rnacentral:rRNA from 1 species